UACGGGGGGUGCGAGCGUUGUCCGGAAUCAUUGGGCGUAAAGCGCGUGUAGGCGGCUGGCUAAGUCCGCUCUGAAAGCCCGGGGCUCAACCCCGGGAGGCGGGUGGAUACUGGUCAGCUCGAGUCCGGAAGAGGAGUGUGGAAUUCCUGGUGUAGCGGUGAAAUGCGCAGAUAUCAGGAGGAACACCAAUGGCGAAGGCAGCACUCUGGGACGGUACUGACGCUGAGACGCGAAAGCGUGGGGAGCGAACAGG
rnacentral:rRNA from 1 species